UGAAAGACCCCAGCUUAGCAGCAGUAACGCCAUUUUGCAAGGCUGUACUUAAGAUGACUGGUUCAGGGAAAGGUUAGAACACUGAGUACACAGCGGCUGCCAAGCAGGAUGUGUUUGGUUGAAGGCCUGGCAACAGGACGACUUCGGUUGAGCACCUGACAAUGAAAAAAGCCCCGGGAGAGGUCCCACACCCUGGUGGGGGGCCGAGUCAGUCGUUAUGUUCCAAGAAGGUAGCUAAGAAACUUGCCCCCGGGCUGAACCCUUGGGGGGGCCGAGUCAGCCGUUAUGUUUCAGGAAGGUAGCUAGGAAACUUGCCCCCGGGCUAAACCCUUGCCAUAUUAGAAUCCACCAAUUAUAUCCCUGUAACCAUGCAUCUGCUUCUGUAUGCUUGCUUCUGCUCCCCAAAAUCCUAUAAAAGCCCAUCCUUGGUUCCGUGGGGCGCGCCAGUCCCCCGAGUGACUGAAGCGCCCGCAGGUGCCUGUGCCUGUGUAUCCCGACAAUAAACCAAAUCCUCUUGCUGAUUGCAUCCUGUGGUGUCUCGGUCUGGUCUUUGGAGUUAGAGGGUCUCCAUCCCGAGGGAAAGUUCUCCCUGAGAGCUUUUCAUUUGGUGCGUUGGCCGGGAAAGGAGAUCCUCCACCCAGGGACCACCGACCACCCACUGGGAGGUAAGCCGGCCGGCGUCUGUCUGUCUGUCUGAUUUUGUCUCGUUCUGCCUUAUUCUGUCUGUUCUGUGAGCGCUCAGCCAGGUCUGUUCUGUGAGCGCUCAGCCAGGUCUGUUCUGUGAGCGCUCAGCCAGGUCUGUUCUGUGAGCGCUCAGCCAGGUUGUUUGGAAUUUGGGCGGGACGAAGAAGGAGCUGACGAGCUCGGACUUCUCGCCCCGCAGCCCUGGAAGACGUUCCAAGGGUGUUAGGGGCCCGACUUUUCGGGGCCCAAUCUGGGAGAGGAGAAAGAUCGGACUAACGGCACCUCUGUCUGUAUUUUUGGCUUUCAGAGGGCCCCGGACCUUUGCCACCUCCAUCUGACUUUUUGCUUUCAGUUUGGUACCAAAGCCGUGCAGCACGCCUGUCUG
rnacentral:lncRNA from 1 species